rnacentral:pre_miRNA from 12 species
AGUGUCAUCAAAAAUGGCUGAAGAAAGAUAUAUUUGCAUUUGAAGCGUAUCACAGCCAGCUUUGAUGGGCAUUG